rnacentral:lncRNA from 1 species
AGAACGCGCCGGGCGCUGGUGGCAGGUGGUACAGGCACGUGGAUCCACCGACCACAAGGACGGAUUCGAUUGGAUUCUGAUUGACCGGCGGACCAGCUCCAGAGUAAUUGUCUAUGGCUGCCCCUGCAAUGACUGAUUGAUUGACAAUGGCUGAGAGACCAGCAAGUGAGUCGCUCCGAGAAAGCGAAGGAGCCCACUCUUGUGCGGCGCUUUGGGAAGACGCCUGUUGGUUUUGACCCCGAAUAAGAAGAGGAAGCUGAGAGCGGGCUGACUGUGGUCCAGUCCUACUUCGAUUCAGUGUGAACUGACACUCUGAUCUGAAGACGCUCAGGCCUUUGUCAUUUCAGCACCCCAGAUGCUAUUUUCCAUUCGAAGAAUGCCGCCACCAGGUGGCGGUAUUUUAACAUGGCCAUGCAAUCCGGGAGGCUCCAGUGAUGGGGAGCGGCUGUAAAUACAGAUGAAGCUUUGCUGCCUGCCUGCUCACUGCCUGCCUGCUCACCUCCUGCUCUGCGGC